rnacentral:snRNA from 1 species
GGAUAGGAGAGCGAUCUGGCUGCGACAUCUGUCACCCCAUUGAUUGCCAGGGUUGAUUUGGCUGAUCUGGCUGGCUAGGCGGGUGUCCCCAUCCUCACUGCUCCAUGUGCAUCCCUCCCGAAGCUCCGCGCUCAGUGGAAGAGGACAACCAUCCAACACAGAAGGAGUGUACCGAUCUUCAGUCAAGGGUAUACGAUAGCUGCGCUCCCCUGCUAAGCUCAAGGUUGGACUUUCAAAACAAAAAAUGUAACAAAAUUUCAACAAUGGAACAAUCUGCUUU